UACAGAGGGUGCGAGCGUUAAUCGGAAUUACUGGGCGUAAAGCGUGCGUAGACGGUAGCGUAAGUCAGAUGUGAAAGCCCCGGGCUCAACCUGGGAACUGCAUUUGAGACUGCUCUGCUCGGGUGCGGAAGAGGGAAGCGGAAUUUCCGGUGUAGCGGUGAAAUGCGUAGAUAUCGGAAGGAACACCAGUGGCGAAAGCGGCUCACUGGACCACAACUGACGCUGAUGCGCGAAAGCUAGGGGAGCAAACAGG
rnacentral:rRNA from 1 species